UUAAGUGUAGUCUCAUGGAGGGCGUGUUUCUUUAAACCAGCUCUACCGGUUAACCUCCUGUCUCUCUCUGACGCCCUGUGAUGCCAACAACGACGACUGGCAAUAAUAAAGAGAACUGACCGUGGAAGACAAAGCGCUGAAUGAAAAGUGUAUUUUUACGGUUUGAAUACACUGCUGGGAGGAUCAGUGGGCAGGAAAACGUAUGAAAGGCCAUAACUGUUUUGUGCCUGGCAUCGGCUGAAAAGCCCUGACUGUGGGUUUGCUCCAGUCUCUACCUCUCAUUUGUUCCUACUCUUUGCUGCAGCAGGGAGUUUCGCAUCGAGGUCCGAUGCCAUACGGUGCCGGACGCCUUUUAGCAAAGAGGCUAGGCAUUCCUCCCAGCAUCUGUUUAAUCUCCUUCUUGACCCGGUGACAUCGACAUUCCUGGGGAUGAGCAUGCUGUCAGCCGCCUGCUUAACUCUUGCAGACAUGACUAGCUUAAGCAAACAUUUCACUGAUACGACAGGUUAAUGUGACCCGGUUAUAUUCCACGCUGACAAAUAGGUUGCCAUGUCUGCUAAGGGAAUAUUUUAAAGAAAACUCUUUUCUUCUGCCUUCCGGUACUUUAAAGUUACUUUAAAUAUAUAGAAGUUCAAACAUGAGAUUCAGUUAAAGCUCAACUCAUGUUCAUGUUCCAGCUUUUUGUCCAGCUGAGAGUCAAACCUUUGCUAAGCGGAGCAGCAAUCAAGAGUGUAAUUUGCCUUAAGCUAUGUAUUAUUAUGGAGUCUAUUUAAUCUUAUUUAGGCUGUUGCAGCACACAGAAAUGUACUGUAGUCACAAAAGUACAAAUCCUUAUAGUUAACUCCACCUACCGUAGAUGUCUGUCAAUUCCCUUUGUUUCCAUUUGAAAACUUUGCGAAGUAGCUCAGUUGUUGCCAGCGCUACUUUGGUUUAGCAUCAGUUAGCUGAUGGGUUCUGUUAAAGCAGCGUUAAUUGUGUUGAUAGUGAACAGAAGUGUAAUGUUUGGGGCUGUAGCUCCAACAACAGUGGUGAUUUUUUGCAUGAGUGUCUCUUAGUGAGCAGAGCACCUUCGUCUUUCCCUGAUAAUUCACAAUAUUAGAUUUAAAAGAAUUAAAAGAGAGUAGAAAAAGACCAGGAGAGAUUUUGAGUCUCAAUCAUUUAAUCUCAUUGUCUCCAUUUAAGAUCGC